rnacentral:rRNA from 1 species
AUUGAACGCUGGCGGCAGGCCUAACACAUGCAAGUCGAACGAGUGGCGGACGGGUGAGUAAUGUCUGGGAAACUGCCUGAUGGAGGGGGAUAACUACUGGAAACGGUAGCUAAUACCGCAUACCAUAGGAUGUGCCCAGAUGGGAUUAGCUGGUAGGUGGGGUAAAGGCUCAACUAGGCGAAGAUCCCUAGCUGGUCUGAGAGGAUUAACAGCCACAAGGGAAUUGAGCCACGGUCCAGACUCCCACUGUAGGGCGCAGUGGGGAAUAUUGCACAAUGGGCGCAAUUCUGAUGCAGCCAUGCCGCGUGUAUGAAGAAGGCCUUCGGUUUGUAAAGUACUUUCAGCGGCGAGGCGUUACCCGCAGCAGAAGCACCGGCUAACUCCGUGCCAGCAGCCGCGGUAAUAC